ACGCUGGCGGCGUGCCUAACACAUGCAAGUCGAGCGAGAAAUAAAGGAAUGAAGCUUCGGUAGAUUUUCUUUAUGGAAAGCGGCGGACGGGUGAGUAACGCGUAGGCAACCUGCCCUGUACAGGGGGAUAGCCACCCGAAAAGGUGAUUAAUACCCCAUAACGCAAGAGAUACACAUGUAUCACUUGUCAAAGAUUUAUCGGUAUAGGAUGGGCCUGCGUCUGAUUAGCUAGUUGGUAGGGUAACGGCUUACCAAGGCAACGAUCAGUAGCCGACCUGAGAGGGUGAUCGGCCACAUUGGAACUGAGACACGGUCCAAACUCCUACGGGAGGCAGCAGUGGGGAAUAUUGCACAAUGGGCGCAAGCCUGAUGCAGCAACGCCGCGUGAAGGAUGAAGGCCUUCGGGUUGUAAACUUCUGUCCUAGGGGAAGAAACAAAUGACAUUACCCUUGGAGGAAGCCCCGGCUAACUACGUGCCAGCAGCCGCGGUAAUACGUAGGGGGCGAGCGUUAUCCGGAAUUAUUGGGCGUAAAGAGUGCGUAGGUGGCACCUUAAGCGCAGGGCUUAAGGCAAUGGCUCAACCAUUGUUCGCCUUGCGAACUGGGGUGCUUGAGUGCAGGAGGGGAAAGUGGAAUUCCUAGUGUAGCGGUGAAAUGCGUAGAUAUUAGGAGGAACACCAGUGGCGAAGGCGACUUUCUGGACUGUUACUGACACUGAGGCACGAAAGCGUGGGGAGCAAACAGGAUUAGAUACCCUGGUAGUCCACGCCGUAAACGAUGAGCACUAGGUGUCGGGGUCGCAAGACUUCGGUGCCGCAGUUAACGCAUUAAGUGCUCCGCCUGGGGAGUACGCACGCAAGUGUAAAACUCAAAGGAAUUGACGGGGACCCGCACAAGCAGCGGAGCAUGUG
rnacentral:rRNA from 1 species